rnacentral:rRNA from 1 species
CAGUAGCCGCGGUAAUGCGUAGGGUGCAAGUGUUAAUCGGAAUUACUGGGCGUAAAGCGUGCGCAGGCGGUUUGUUAAGACAGAUGUGAAAUCCCCGGGCUCAACCUGGGAACUGCAUUUGUGACUGGCAAGCUAGAGUGUGGCAGAGGGGGGUGGAAUUCCGCGUGUAGCAGUGAAAUGCGUAGAUAUGCGGAGGAACACCGAUGGCGAAGGCAGCCCCUUGGGCCAACACUGACGCUCAUGCACGAAAGCGUGGGGAGCAAACAGGAUUAGAUACCCCCGUAGUCCCUGUCUCUUAUAC